rnacentral:sRNA from 1 species
AUAUUCUCCAUUCGGGGAAGGAUGAGAAGCUUCGACUAAGGUUCGACUCGAGCAUCGCGAGAGAGCGUUGCCACAGGCAACGACCCGUAGGGCGAGGAGCGCAGCGACGAGUAAUCCUUCCCCCACCACCA